UGGUCAAGUUAUUAAGGGUGCAGGGCGGAUGCCUUGGCACUAGGAGCCGAUGAAGGACGUGAUAAGCUGCGAUAAGCUUCGGGGAGUUGCACGUAAACUUUGAUCCGAAGAUUUCCGAAUGAGGAAACUCACUUAGAGUAAUGUCUAAGUAUCAUUAAGUGAAUACAUAGCUUAAUGAGGGGAACUCAGGGAACUGAAACAUCUAAGUACCUGAAGGAAGAGAAAGAAAUUCGAUUCCGUAAGUAGCGGCGAGCGAACGCGGAUUAGCCCAAACCAAUAAAGUUUUCUUUAUUGGGGUUGCGGACAUAUCAUAACGAAGAGGUAUCGUAAUUGAAGAGGUUUGGAAAGACCCACCACAGAAGGUAAUAGUCCUGUAUGUUAAACGAGAAGACUUCAGAUAUGAUCCAGAGUACCACGGGACACGUGAAACCCUGUGGGAAGCAGGAGGGACCACCCUCCAAGGCUAAAUACUACCUAGUGACCGAUAGCGUAUAGUACCGUGAGGGAAAGGUGAAAAGAACCCCGGGAGGGGAGUGAAAUAGAACCUGAAACCCUGCACUUACAAGCUGUGGAAGCACAUUUCUUGUGUGACC
rnacentral:rRNA from 1 species